CUGAAGAAAUGGCAAAGGUUGAGCUGGCUCCUAGGAGUACGUGCUCGCCUCUGUCGCUUUUUCUACUUUCCACUGUGCACCUUAUGUAGGCUUUGCGCGAAAGGUUGACUUGUCAACCGAUUGUUAAAAGCCUAUGUCUUAUAUACACCAUUGAAAAGUCUUUGAAUGUGUCUCUAUUGUUGGUCUUUGAACCGAUAAUAAACUUGUA
rnacentral:misc_RNA from 1 species